UGAGGAAUCUUGCACAAUGGGGGAAACCCUGAUGCAGCGACGCCGCGUGAGUGAUGACGCCUUUCGGGGUGUAAAGCUCUUUCAGUGGGAACGAUAAUGACGGUACCCACAGAAGAAGGUGCGGCUAACUACGUGCCAGCAGCCGCGGUAAUACGUAGGCACCAAGCGUUGUUCGGAGUUACUGGGCGUAAAGAGUGCGUAGGCGGUUCUGUAAGUUUGGUGUGAAAUCUCCCGGCUCAACUGGGAGGCUGCAUCGAAAACUGCAGAGCUUGAGCAUGGGAGAGGAAAGCGGAAUUCCUGGUGUAGCGGUGAAAUGCGUAGAUAUCAGGAGGAACACCGGCGGUGUAGACGGCUUUCUGGACCAUUGCUGACGCUGAGGCACGAAAGCGUGGGGAGCAAACAGGAUUAGAUACCCUGGUAGUCCACGCCCUAAACGAUGCAUACUUGGUGUGGGCACUUCAGUGUGUCCGUGCCGGAGCUAACGCGUUAAGUAUGCCGCCUGGGGAAGUACGGUCGCAAGGCUGAAACUUCAAAGGAAAUGACGGGAAGGGCGAAUCGCGACGCAUUUACC
rnacentral:rRNA from 1 species